rnacentral:rRNA from 1 species
UACGUAGGGGGCAAGCGUUGUCCGGAUUUAUUGGGCGUAAAGAGCGUGUAGGCGGCCUGGUAGGUCAGCUGUGAAAACUCGAGGCUCAACCUCGAGACGUCGGUUGAAACCACCUGGCUAGAGUCCGGAAGAGGAGAGUGGAAUUCCCGGUGGAGCGGUGAAAUGCGUAGAUAUCGGAAGGAACGCCGGUGGCGAAAGCGACGUGCUGGACCUCUUCUGACGCUGAGGCGCGAAAGCCAGGGGAGCAAACGGG